GCGAGUGAAGCGGGAAAAGCUCAAAUUUAAAAUCUGGCGGUCUUUGGCCGUCCGAGUUGUAGUCUGGAGAAGUGCUUUCCGCGCUGGACCGUGUAUAAGUCUCUUGGAACAGAGCGUCAUAGAGGGUGAGAAUCCCGUCUUUGACACGGACUACCAGUGCUUUGUGAUGCGCUCUCAAAGAGUCGAGUUGUUUGGGAAUGCAGCUCAAAAUGGGUGGUGAAUUCCAUCUAAAGCUAAAUAUUGGCGAGAGACCGAUAGCGAACAAGUACCGUGAGGGAAAGAUGAAAAGCACUUUGGAAAGAGAGUUAAACAGUACGUGAAAUUGCUGAAAGGGAAACGCUUGAAGUCAGUCGCGUUGUCCGGAACUCAGCCUUGCUUUUGCUUGGUGCACUUUCCGGAUGACGGGUCAGCAUCGAUUUUGACCGUCGGAAAAGGGCUGGAGUAAUGUGGCACCUUCGGGUGUGUUAUAGACUCUGGUCGCAUACGGCGGUUGGG
rnacentral:rRNA from 1 species